GAAGGCUGUCGAGGAUGUUGAUGAUACAAGAAGGGAAGACGCCAAGGCACUCUGACAGCAGCCACUAAGCCAGUUCAACAUUGAUGCAUGCCCAGGCAACGAUGACUUCAAAACUGUAACCUGCUGUCACCUGUAACAAAACUAGCUGUUCUGGAUUUCAAAGU